CCCUGGGGCUGGGGCCGCGAGUCUGGGUCGCCCUUGGUGGCCGCGGCCUCCCAGAACCCCCCGGGAAGGGCAGGCAGAGGACCCAUCUUAGAUGAAGCGGGGCCUUACCCGGGUUUUGAAGAGCCCCAGAAUCAGAUGUUGGAAUGGGGUGGCUUAUCAGUCUUGUUUAUCUGCAGGGAAAUUUCAGUUCCAUCCAGAUGUUGGUUCCUUCAGUCAACCUCAGGAAUAAGACACAAGGGUACCUUCUGUGUGACUUCAACCCUCCAGAGGGCUUCAACCUCCGUAGGAACGUCUGCAUCCACAUUGCCUUACUCCUGAAGACCCUGCUGAAGAUGGAAGAGCCGGUACUGGUGCAAUUCCCUUGGGGCCACCUCUACCACUGGCAGAGCCCCGAUCCCUGGUCCGACUCCUUUGACCUCCCAAGUCUCAACAGAAACAUCCCUGACAUUGAGUACGAGCAGUUCAUUGCAGGAACGCUGUGUUCAUGACAACCCAAUGAGUUGGCACCACUAUGAGUUCCACUUUAAAGGUAAGGACAUUCAUUAAUCACACGGCUAAUAAAUGGCAGAGCUGGGACUUGAACCCGAGCUCUCUGGCCCCAGAGCCCCCUCUCAGCCCCUUCACUGCAGCUCAUCACUUGGCAUGCCCGACACAGGCCAGCAUUUACGAGCAGCGUGACCUUGGCCAAGGCUGCUUCACUGCUUGGUCUCUGAUUCCUCAUCUGUAGAAUGGGGGUGUGGGCAGUGAACUCUGUGAGCUCAGUGGUCACUUCCUCCAGCUCUGCAAUUCUACUGCUUUGAGUUAGUAUAGUAAGUAUCCGAGCCCCUACAUGGCCCACACAUGGGCUGGCGCUUUGCUAGGCCCUGGGUUACGGAGCAAAGUAAGAUCCGCCUGCUCCUCCGAGGAGCCUGUGUCCCUCCACGGCAAACAGCUGCGAGGCCCAGGCUCCCUGGCUGGCGGUCGGGGGCUGGGCAGGAAAGUCUGAUAAGAGAAGAUGGAGGCAGAGCCCCUCCGGGAACAGUGGUGGCCACACAGCUCUCAGGAGCGAGAGCCUCUGUCCAGGCUGCUGAGAGGGGGAUCCUCAUGAGGCCAGUAGUCCCCCCAACCUAAGCCCUCAGGACAAAGAUCCAGCCAUCCCUGCAGUGUCACCAUAGAGCCAGUCCAUCCUCAUCACUGUGCCUCUGUGCUCCUUUGUCCUCGGGCCUCUCUUCCCCCUACACCCAGAAGACUCUUCUCCCUCUCUUCUCUGAGUGCCCCCUCACUUCACCCGUGGUCCCUGCUUCCUGGGCCACCAUCACUGGAGUUGACGCUUUGCACCUUCACAAACCCCGUUUGAUCAGGAGCCUGGGUUGGCCUCCUUGUGCUCACUUUCCACCUUCAGAUGAUUGCUCCUCCCCUCGUGGGAGCACAUGGAAAACCCAGAUCCUUUCCUAGCAGUGCCUGCCACCCUGGCCUCCCUGCUCAUCUGCCUCAGUCAGGAGCACCUGGACCACCAGCUCUGUAUUGCCUCGCCUCCUACCAUCAAGACGUCAAAGUUCAUUCUCCUUCCACCACCCAGUAUGGUCAUUGUAGGGUCUUCUUCUCUGUCAGCCUGAGCCAGCCACCCCCCAUUCACCCUACCCCCGGGCUCAUACCCGGGCGUGUCUCCACCCCAGGUCCAGCCUCUCUCCUUUAAGUGCCCACCUCUAGCCGUCCAGCUUCUUCUCCACCAGCCUCCCUGGCCCUCCUUCACCCUCACUGGGGCAUCAUGCGCUGACUCCUCUGCUUUCCUGCCUGUCCACGUUCCUCUUACUUCCACUUCCCCACCUUCCAGCUCUGCAUCCACAGUCAGCACUCUCUUUAUGACAGACAAAACCCCCUUGAGCCUUGACCUUUUCAGUUCCUCACCAGGCCGACUUCCAUCUCGGUUCACCCAGCUCUACUUGUUCUGAGCCUGCAGGCAGCAGGCUCUCCCAGCACAGAUUUCCAAGACUACAAAUCAAUGCCCACCAUGUUGCCGCUGCCAGGCAAUCCUCCAGGAUUUCUAUAAUGGUCAUGCCUCCUGCUUCAGAGAGAAUGACAUGUCACUGGAAAGGAACUCGCUCACCUACAGCAAAUCUGCUCACCUCACCUUUUAUCUGUCCCUUUCCCACCUGGACUCUAGCUGUAGUUGUUCUUAAUUCAGUGAGUUUAGUUGACAUAUAUACACACAGUUAAAAGCAUAGCACACUAUCGGCUACCUUCUAGGGGUUACUUUUUCAAUUUAACAUGGAGUGUGUGAUUCAUCCACUUCAUUGCAUGUACCUGCAGUUCAUUUGUUUUAACUGAUCUUAAAUGUUGUGUGUGUGAAAGUAACACAAGGCAAGGGUAAGCCAGGAUUCAGGAUGCUGGUUACUUCCUGUGAGAAGAGGCCAAGAGCAGGAUAGGUAAAGAGGACACAGUAUGUCACUGUCAAUAUUCCUGUUAUGAUGCUGGGUGAUAGGUUCAUAACUGUGUCUUAUAAUAUUAAUUUUAAUACAUAAAUACUUCUGACAGGCAAAUAAGAUGAGAAUGUGUCAUGAACCAAGACAUACAAUGGGUAAUAUUACAUCAUUAUUGAUAUGUAAUCUUGUUAUAUUAUAUAUUAAUCAUUAUCUUACAUUAUUUGUUAUGGGUUAUAUAUUAUAUAGAUGCAUGAAUAAUAUAUUAUGUAUAUAAACACCUACAUAUGUAUUAUAUACUAUCUGCUAAUAAAUAAACAGAAGAUAAUAUGCUAGUAUAUCUUCUAUUAUGUAUUAUUUAAUAAAUAAUAACAUACUCUAUCCUGUUAUAUGACAUGGAACAUAAUCUUUAAUAAAAUAAGAAAUCUGUCAAUA